rnacentral:rRNA from 1 species
UACGGAGGGGGCUAGCGUUGUUCGGAAUUACUGGGCGUAAAGCGCACGUAGGCGGACCAUCAAGUUGGGGGUGAAAUCCCGGGGCUCAACCCCGGAACUGCCUCCAAAACUGCUGGUCUGGAGGUCGAGAGAGGUGAGUGGAAUUCCGAGUGUAGGGGUGAAAUUCGUAGAUAUUCGGAGGAACACCAGUGGCGAAGGCGGCUCACUGGCUCGAUACUGACACUGAGGUGCGAAAGCGUGGGGAGCAAACAGG